CCUACGGGAGGCAGCAGUGGGGAAUUUUGGACAAUGGGGGCAACCCUGAUCCAGCAAUGCCGCGUGUGUGAAGAAGGCCUUCGGGUUGUAAAGCACUUUUGUCCGGAAAGAAAUGGCUCUGGUUAAUACCCGGGGUCGAUGACGGUACCGGAAGAAUAAGCACCGGCUAGCUACGUGCCAGCAGCCGCGGUAAUACGUAGGGUGCGAGCGUUAAUCGGAAUUACUGGGCGUAAAGCGUGCGCAGGCGGUUUUGUAAGACAGGCGUGAAAUCCCCGAGCUCAACUUGGGAAUGGCGCUUGUGACUGCAAGGCUAGAGUAUGUCAGAGGGGGGUAGAAUUCCACGUGUAGCAGUGAAAUGCGUAGAGAUGUGGAGGAAUACCGAUGGCGAAGGCAGCCCCCUGGGACGUCACUGACGCUCAUGCACGAAAGCGUGGGGAGCAAACAGGAUUAGAUACCCUGGUAGUCCACGCCCUAAACGAUGUCAACUAGUUGUUGGGGAUUCAUUUCUUCAGUAACGUAGCUAACGCGUGAAGUUGACCGCCUGGGGAGUACGGUCGCAAGAUUAAAACUCAAAGGAAUUGACGG
rnacentral:rRNA from 1 species